rnacentral:rRNA from 1 species
AUUGAACGCUGGCGGCAGGCUUAACACAUGCAAGUCGAGCGGGGUGAUGAUGCUUGCACUAUCACUUAGCGGCGGACGGGUGAGUAAUGCUUAGGAAUCUGCCUAUUAGUGGGGGACGACAUCUCGAAAGGGAUGCUAAUACCGCAUACGUCCUACGGGAGAAAGCAGGGGAUCACUUGUGACCUUGCGCUAAUAGAUGAGCCUGAGUCGGAUUAGCUAGUUGGUGGGGUAAAGGCCUACCAAGGCGACGAUCUGUAGCGGGUCUGAGAGGAUGAUCCGCCACACUGGGACUGAGACACGGCCCAGACUCCUACGGGAGGCAGCAGUGGGGAAUAUUGGACAAUGGGGGGAACCCUGAUCCAGCCAUGCCGCGUGUGUGAAGAAGGCCUUAUGGUUGUAAAGCACUUUAAGCGAGGAGGAGGCUCUUUUGGUUAAUACCCAAGAUGAGUGGACGUUACUCGCAGAAUAAGCACCGGCUAACUCUGUGCCAGCCGCCGCGGUAA